ACCAGCACCCCAGAUGGGUGAGAGAUGUGAUCACUGGUUUCGUGGCCUGACCAAGGACCUCCAAGAUGGAGUCUCUCGCUGUUGCCCAGGCUGGAGUGCAGUGGCUCGGUCUCAGCUCACUGCAACCUCCACCUCCCAGGUCCAAGCAAUUAUCCAGUCUCAGCCUCCUCAGUAGCUGGGACCACAGGUGCGUGCCACCACACCCAGCUCAUUUUUGUAUUUUUAGUAGAGACGGGGUUUUGCUAUGUUGACCAAGCUGGUCUCGAACUCCUGACCUCAAGUGAUCCGCCUGCCUCGGCCUCCCAAAGUGCUGGGAUUACAGGCAUGAGGCACCCCGUCCAGCCUGGAAGACUUUUUUUUUUAAUGAAUAAAAACACAUUUUUUUA
rnacentral:lncRNA from 10 species